UUGUUUGGGAUAUAUCCUAGCAAUUCUCAAAAAAAUCAGAACAAAGACACUAGGUGUUUCUGAGUAAGUCCUUGCACUCAUCAAGAAUAUGAGUAUGUCCACUGAAGUCAGUGUAAAGGCAAUGUGAAUCAGAAUUAAUUAUUAAAAACCACUGUUGGAGCAACAGGAAGAAAGAUUACAUUACAGCAGUUUGCAUUCUGUAUAAAAUGCUGAUCAGUAUGUGAUAACAGGAUAAUAUUUCAUUGUUCCUUAACUAGGAUAUACAGUGGUGUUUGAGGGUAAAUGGGGGCUUAGUGUUCCCUUGCUAUAACUCAUUGAAGUAAGGAACAUGCCUCCAGAUUUCAUAAAUCCACUUCUUGCUUCUCAAAUCUUAUUAAAGACUGAGUAGAAUAAAUCCUGGUUUGCGCUGAAAUAACUGUUUCAUUUCCCUCUCUCUUAGUAGUUGUUCAUCAAACCAGGGAAUGAAACUCUGAAAUAUCCCAGCUGACUCCAGGAUCAAUGCCUACAGGUCCGGGCCAAGAGCAUAUUUCAGAAAACUUUCUGGAUGUGGGAGUCAAGUCCCUUGAAAAUGAAUGAGAGAAUUCUUAUCAACACUAAUGAGCAUUUAAUCAGAACCUAAAAGGAAAGAAGCUAGCUGCAUACAUCAGCUCUUUCUCAAGUUAUACUCUUUUGACAGUAAGAGUCUGUAUAAUCUGUGACUGACUUUUUUCUAACAUACUCAAUUUUUCAUUGGCUUACUGAGGGAUGAUGCUCUUUGAUAACAGAGAGUUAAUGGAUUUCCUGGAACUUACAGACUUUUGAAAAUUCUGACUAUCUCCUUUGCAGAGAAUUACUUAAACUUGCUAAUGUUUACUGAAUGCUUUUGAAUCCUCUGAAGGAAAGUUUUAGAUAAGGUGUUGUUUUUUGUCCCUGAUAGCUUAACUUGGGAUUUUCCUUGAUGCUGAACAGAGCAUUCAGGGGAAAGCUAGAAAUCUUCUGAACUUUGGAAGAUUCAAUCUUAUUUCUUAAGCAAAAGAA
rnacentral:lncRNA from 1 species